rnacentral:lncRNA from 1 species
AUGGAGAGGCACAAACAUCCAGACAAGCAUUUACCUUCUGCUGAAAUUGUCUCAGUGUUUGCCUCUCCUAAUGGAAUAUGGGCCACAUGUACAGCAAGGGCUCAGCAAAUGCUUGCUGAACAAACAAGUUUGAGGCAGGUUUCUAACUCAGGUAGAUCGUUUCAUCCUCUUCAUCUCCCAGCAACCAAGAAAACCAGCCUAUUGCCAUGGGGGGGUCCUCCAACCCUGGCUAUUCUCCAAUGCUAAAGACUGACAGAUAAUCUCAAUUAGCAAAUUGACCCUUGUGGAUUUUCUGCACUCAUAGCAAAUGUCUUCAGGAAAACUGAAUUUCUCUCCAUACCUGGAUUAAUUUUCAGUAAUGGAAUGACUGGGUCAAAGGAGAUCAACAUUGCUGUGGCUCUUUCAGGUUCUCUUAAAUUCCAUGGAUUUUAACUUUGGCCCAUGACCUCCUUGACCUCUGGAAAUGUGACAUCCUGCACCUGCUGCAUCAGGGCUCUUCCCUGGUCUUGCCUACACUUGUGUCUACACAGAUGCCUCUUCCUGUCCAUAUCACUUGCUUCUGCAUAAAGUGGGUGCAGAAGAUAAUGAGACGGAUUUGACCGCGGUGAACAGGCAGGCACACAAGAUGGAGCAGGCCCUGGUGAUAAACCCCAAUUCAAGUGAGAGGAAGUAUGAGGAACCAGAUUGGAAGAUGGAGUCCAGUGCCCAGAGAUCAUGGUCCAGGCAGGAUUGAAGAUCAAAGUUUGAAGUUGACUUCUAGGCCCCAUCCUGGUACAUUCUGGAUGAAUUUU